rnacentral:rRNA from 1 species
GACGAACGCUGGCGGCGUGCCUAAUACAUGCAAGUAGAACGCUGAAGGAGGAGCUUGCUUCUCUGGAUGAGUUGCGAACGGGUGAGUAACGCGUAGGUAACCUGCCUGGUAGCGGGGGAUAACUAUUGGAAACGAUAGCUAAUACCGCAUAAGAGUAGAUGUUGCAUGACAUUUGCUUAAAAGGUGCAAUUGCAUCACUACCAGAUGGACCUGCGUUGUAUUAGCUAGUUGGUGGGGUAACGGCUCACCAAGGCGACGAUACAUAGCCGACCUGAGAGGGGGAUCGGCCACACUGGGACUGAGACACGGCCCAGACUCCUACGGGAGGCAGCAGUAGGGAAUCUUCGGCAAUGGACGGAAGUCUGACCGAGCAACGCCGCGGGAGUGAAGAAGGGUUUCGGAUCGGAAAGCUCUGUUGUAAGGGAAGAACGAGUGUGAGAGUGGAAAGUUCACACUGUGACGGUAGCUGACCAGAAAGGGACGGCUAACUACGUG